rnacentral:rRNA from 1 species
UUGGUCUAUCCACGCGAGCCUCCCCUCUCUCUAUUUACUAGAGCGUUGGGUGUGCCUAACAACCCCUCGGCACGUACUGUGCCAAGGUAAUCAAUGUAAGUCGUGGUGGUGGUACCGUGUGUGCUCCUUAGCGACUUGUUUGUACUAAUGAAUCCUUUUGAGGAUAUCAGAUGACUCUCGGCAACGGAUAUCUUGGUCCUCGCAUCGAUGAAGAACGUAGCGAAAUGCGAUACUUGGUGUGAAUUGCAGAAUCCCGUGAACCAUCGAGUUUUUGAACGCAAGUUGCGCCCUAAGCUUCCGGGCCGAGGGCAAGCCUGCGUGGGCGUCAAGUUACGUUGCUCGCUCACCCUCCUCGAGGUCCAUUUUCUUGAGGCCUAUUGGUUAGGGUGUUCGAAGUGGAGAUUGACCCUCCAUUCUCUUUUGACGAGUGGUGGGUUGAAGUUUUUAGUGCCGCCGGUAUUCGUGCAAGGGCAUGACGGUUGAAGUCUUGUAGUCUUGGACGUCUUCGUCCGCUACGGCUUACUUGUCGUUCU